GAUGAACGCUGACAGAAUGCUUAACACAUGCAAGUCUACCAAGAAUCACUUCGGUGAGGAAUGGUGGCGGACGGGUGAGUAACGCGUAAAUAAUCUGCCCUUUAGACUGGGAUAUCCUUUGGGAACGAAGGUUAAUACCGGAUAUUAUGAGAUGGACGCAUGUUCAACUUAUGAAAGCUAAAUGCACUAGAGGAGGAGUUUGCGUCCCAUUAGCUAGUUGGUGAGGUAAAGGCUAACCAAGGCCACGAUGGGUAGCCGGCCUGAGAGGGUGAACGGCCACAAGGGAACUGAGACACGGUCCUUACUCCUACGGGAGGCAGCAGUGGGGAAUAUUGGAAAAUGGACCAAAAGUCUGAUCCAGCAAUUCUGUGUGCACGAUGAAGGUCUUCGGAUUGUAAAGUGCUUUCAGUAGGGAAGAAAAAAAUGACGGUACCUACAGAAGAAGCGACGGCUAAAUAUGUGCCAGCAGCCGCCGUAAAAC
rnacentral:rRNA from 1 species